UGAUUGAAUCAGGCCCCUGAAUCUAGGAUAAGUUUGCUGACUUAGAGUCAACCCACCAGGGACAUUAGUCACAUCUACGAAAUAUCUUCACAGCAACACCCAGAUUGGUGUUUGAUUGAGUAACUGCUGACUGUAGGCUAGCCAAGUUGACCCAUAAAACCUGCCAUCACAUUGGCAAAGCCACCGUAUUUCUCCUCUGAAUUACUGCUGCUUCAGCAUCUUUAUGAGUUUCCCUGUUCCUGCUCUGAUCCUCUGUGCCCCUCCCCGUCCCCCAACUGUUUUCAACCGAGCAGCUGGAGGGAUCAUCGCUCCAUUGCUCAAAGCCCUCGUGGUGGGCAGAAUGAUGGUUCCUCAAAGAUGUCCACAUCCUAAUCCCCAGAACCUGAAGGGGUCACAAGCCCACAAUGAGGAACACAGGACCUCAGUCGUACAACUGCAUGGAACUGAAUUCCACUAGCAAACCCAGUGAGCGAGGAAACAGAUUCUCCCCCAGAGCUCCCAGGAGACAGAGAGAGAGAAGCAGGCUCCAUGCCGGGAGCCCGACGUGGGACUCGAUCCCGGGU